UACGUAGGGUGCGAGCGUUAAUCGGAAUUACUGGGCGUAAAGCGUGCGCAGGCGGUCUGUUAAGACCGAUGUGAAAUCCCCGGGCUUAACCUGGGAACUGCAUUGGUGACUGGCAGGCUUUGAGUGUGGCAGAGGGAGGUAGAAUUCCACGUGUAGCAGUGAAAUGCGUAGAGAUGUGGAGGAAUACCGAUGGCGAAGGCAGCCUCCUGGGCCAACACUGACGCUCAUGACACGAAAGCCGUGGGGAGCAAACAGG
rnacentral:rRNA from 1 species